CUUGCUUCUCUUGAGAGCGGCGGACGGGUGAGUAAUGCCUAGGAAUCUGCCUGGUAGUGGGGGAUAACGUUCGGAAACGGACGCUAAUACCGCAUACGUCCUACGGGAGAAAGCAGGGGACCUUCGGGCCUUGCGCUAUCAGAUGAGCCUAGGUCGGAUUAGCUAGUUGGUGGGGUAAUGGCUCACCAAGGCGACGAUCCGUAACUGGUCUGAGAGGAUGAUCAGUCACACUGGAACUGAGACACGGUCCAGACUCCUACGGGAGGCAGCAGUGGGGAAUAUUGGACAAUGGGCGAAAGCCUGAUCCAGCCAUGCCGCGUGUGUGAAGAAGGUCUUCGGAUUGUAAAGCACUUUAAGUUGGGAGGAAGGGUUGUAGAUUAAUACUCUGCAAUUUUGACGUUACCGACAGAAUAAGCACCGGCUAACUCUGUGCCAGCAGCCGCGGUAAUACAGAGGGUGCAAGCGUUAAUCGGAAUUACUGGGCGUAAAGCGCGCGUAGGUGGUUUGUUAAGUUGGAUGUGAAAUCCCCGGGCUCAACCUGGGAACUGCAUUCAAAACUGACUGACUAGAGUAUGGUAGAGGGUGGUGGAAUUUCCUGUGUAGCGGUGAAAUGCGUAGAUAUAGGAAGGAACACCAGUGGCGAAGGCGACCACCUGGACUAAUACUGACACUGAGGUGCGAAAGCGUGGGGAGCAAACAGGAUUAGAUACCCUGGUAGUCCACGCCCGUAAACGAUGUCAACUAGCCGUUGGAAGGCCUUGAGCUUUUAGU
rnacentral:rRNA from 1 species